rnacentral:rRNA from 1 species
GGGUCAGUAGGUUGGUCGUGCCACCGGUACGUACUGGUCUCACUGAUUCCUCCUUCCUGAAGAACCGUAAUGCCAUUAAUUUGGUGUUGCGGGGAAACAGGACUGUUACUUUGAAAAAAUUAGAGUGUUUAAAGCAAGCUAACGCUUGAAUACAUUAGCAUGGGAUAAUGAAAUAGGACGAUCGAUCCUAUUUUGCUGGUUUCUAAGAUCGACGUA